rnacentral:rRNA from 1 species
GCAAUGAACGAAAGUUUGACACAGCGACACCGCGUGUGGGAUGACGGAUCUAGGUUUGUAAACCACUUUCAGGAGGGAAGAAAAUGACGGUACCUCCACAAGAAGCCCCGGCCAACUACGUGCCAGCAGCCGCGGUAAUACGUAGGGGGCGAGCGUUGUCCGGAUUUAUUGGGCGUAAAGAGCUCGUAGGCGGUUCAACAAGUCGGUCGUGAAAGUUCAGGGCUCAACCCUGAAAUGUCGAUCGAUACUGUUGUGACUAGGAUACGGUAGAGGUGAGUGGAAUUCCGAGUGUAGCGGUGAAAUGCGUAGAUAUUCGGAGGAACACCAAUUGCGAAGGCAGCUCACUGGACCGCUAUCGACGCUGAGGAGCGAAAGCUAGGGGAGCAAACAGGAUUAGAUACCCUGGUAGUCCUAGCUGUAAACGAUGGAUACUAGACGUAGGAACUGGAUUGACGGUUUCUGUGUCGUAGCUAACGCGUUAAGUAUCCCCGCCGGGGAUUUCCCG